GUGUCAGCAGCCGCGGUAAUACAGAGGUGGCAAGCGUUGUUCGGAAUUACUGGGCGUAAAGGGCGAGUAGGCGGCCUUCUAAGUCAGACGUGAAAUCCCCCGGCUUAACCUGGGAACUGCGUCUGAUACUGGGAGGCUAGAGUUUGGGAGAGGGGUGUAGAAUUCCAGGUGUAGCGGUGAAAUGCGUAGAUAUCUGGAGGAAUACCGGUGGCGAAGGCGGCACCCUGGACCAAUACUGACGCUGAUCCGCGAAAGCUAGGGGAGCAAACGGGAUUAGAAACCCCCGUAGUCC
rnacentral:rRNA from 1 species